UGGAACAACUGAAACUCCUUCAGAUAUAAUAAGGGAUCCAUUGUUUCAAUGUGAAAGCUUAUUGGAUUAUCGAUUAUGCAGAAGAAAUUUUCAACUAAAAUCGUUUGAGUAAGAAUGAAAGUAAAGCACCUUUACCUCAGUCGUGUGUCUUAGGGGUGUAAGUGACCGAACCAAACCGACGAACCAAACCGAACCGACUUAAAUUGGUUCAGUUAUAGACCAAGUCAGUUCGAUUCGGUUCGGUUUCUAGAAACCGAAAAAAAAGAUGCCCUACCUCUUAUAUAAUGUUCUGUCAUCUUCCCCGCCAUCUUAUCUCUCAAUAAACCCAUGAUUUCGCCCUUCUCUCUCAACACCCACAACUUUCCUCUCUCACCCUAUAGAUUUCUCACAAUUUCCUCUCUCUCUGGACAAACCCACAAAUUUCUCACGAUUUCAUCUUUCUCAACAAACUCAUCUCUCGACAAACUCAAUCUCUCUCAAGAAACCUUCUGAUUCUCUCUCAACGAACCCAUGGCCGACCUUCUGAUGAAAGGCAAACAAACCCACGGCGGCCAACCUUCCAACGAAAUCUCCAAACAAACCCAUUGGGUCUCUCUCGACAAACCCAUUCUCUCUCAAGAAACCUACGAUGGCGAUUCCAAUUUUGAACACCCAUUUAACCUUCAGACUGAAGGAUUUGGAUCUGGAAAAUGUUACAAAAUAAGGAUUUGGAUCUAGGUGUUCGUUGAGAACCCUAGACUGGUGAGAGAGAGAGAGAGAGAGAAAUCGAAACCGACCUGACCUGAAGCGACCCAAUCCGAAUUUCAACUCACAACUUUCGUAUCGGUUCGAUUUUGUCCGGAAACCGAUGGAGACCGACUAUUUACACCCCUAGUGUGUCUAGAGCCCGCCACCAAAGGGCUUUGUCAAAAUCAAUUCAGAUGCUACAUGUGGUCUGCCUGAAGGUAGAUCCGGAGUUAAGGUUUUGAUCAGAGAUAAAUCUUGCAGGAUUCAAGCGGCAAUGACUACCUCCCAUGUUUCUCUUAUUCGGUUCCUAGCGGAAAUGUUGGCUAUUCAUGAGGGUCUUUGUUUGGCGGCUUGUUUGGGCAUCUCCAAAAUCGUAGUCGAAUCCAACUCUUUGGAAGGUUUCUCUUUGAUCGCCGGUGGGGGGAAAUCCACAACGAAACGACCUCUUGGAUUGCUAAUAUUAGAACUUUGGCAGGAUCUUUGCAAGAUAUAUCCUUUUAGCAUGACUGCGAAGCAAAUGAGAUCGCUGAUGCCCUAGCCAAAGUUGCGCUGCGUUCUUAUCGUCCUAUUCUGUGGCUUUCGGGUUUUCCAACUUGGCUCCUCCGUAUGUGGAGUCUGAUAAUUUGUCUUUUGUAGCCUUUAUGGCAACAAGUUUUCUUAAUUGAAGUCUUUAUUUAAAAAAAAGUAUUGACAUGUGCAAACGGUUAAAUGGCAGAAGAGGACUUGGUUAUGUCGAUGAGAGUGUUAUUCCAUCUAGUUCCAAUACAAUUUUUGUUAAAGCAUUUUCUAUUGUGCAUAA